CAAAAACAUGUCUCUUUGUAAAAUAUAAAUAAAGAGUCGGGCCUGCUCGGUGAAUAAGUUUUUAACAGCUGCGGUAUUUUAACUGUACUAAGGUAGCAUAAUAAUUUGCCUUAUAAUUUGAGGCUAGAAUGAAUGGUUUGACGAAGGUUAAUCUGUCUCUAUCUUAUUUUUUAGAAUUUAAUUUUUAAAGUGAAAAAGCUUAAAUUUUUUAAAGGGACGAGAAGACCCUAAUGAGCUUAUAAUUUUAUUAUUAUUAUUUAAAAUAUUUGAAUAAUAAUAUAUAAAUUUUAAUUGGGGUGAUUAAGGAAUAAUUUUAAUAUAGUAACUUCCUUAAGUUAAAUGUUUAUAGAUAAAGUAACCAAUGAAAUAUUGCUUAUAAUAUAGUUACCAUAGGGAUAACAGCGUAAUUUGUUUAGAGAGUUCUUAUUGAAAAACGAGAUUGCGACCUCGAUGUUGGAUUAAAGUAACCUUAAGGUGCAGAAGCUUUAAUAAGGUAAAUCUGUUCGA
rnacentral:rRNA from 1 species